ACGGAGGGUGCGAGCGUUAUCCGGAAUUACUGGGUUUAAAGGGUGCGUAGGCGGCUUGGUAAGUCAGGUGUGAAAUCCCUGGGCUCAACCUAGGAAUUGCAUUUGAUACUGGAAAGCUUGAGUGUGGUAGAGGGUAGUGGAACUCCCGGUGUAGCGGUGAAAUGCGUAGAUAUCGGGGAGAACACCAGUGGCGAAGGCGGCUACCUGGACUAACACUGACACUGAGAUACGAAAGCGUGGGGAGCAAACAGGA
rnacentral:rRNA from 1 species